rnacentral:rRNA from 1 species
AUUGAACGCUGGCGGCAGGCUUAACACAUGCAAGUCGAGCGGAGGUGAGGUGCUUGCACCUUAUCUUAGCGGCGGACGGGUGAGUAAUGCUUAGGAAUCUGCCUAUUAGUGGGGGACAACAUUCCGAAAGGAUGCUAAUACCGCAUACGUCCUACGGGAGAAAGCAGGGGAUCUUCGGACCUUGCGCUAAUAGAUGAGCCUAAGUCGGAUUAGCUAGUUGGUGGGGUAAAGGCCUACCAAGGCGACGAUCUGUAGCGGGUCUGAGAGGAUGAUGCGCCACACUGGGACUGAGACACGGCCCAGACUCCUACGGGAGGCAGCAGUGGGGAAUAUUGGACAAUGGGGGGAACCCUGAUCCAGCCAUGCCGCGUGUGUGAAGAAGGCCUUAUGGUUGUAAAGCACUUUAAGCGAGGAGGAGGCUACUGAGACUAAUACUCUUGGAUAGUGGACGUUACUCGCAGAAUAAGCACCGGCUAACUCUGUGCCAGCCGCCGCAGUAACAC